rnacentral:rRNA from 1 species
UACGGGGGGGGGAAGCGUUGUUCGGAAUUACUGGGCUUAAAGGGUGCGUAGGCGGGCGCGUAAGUGUUCUGUGAAAUCCCCGGGCUCAACCCGGGAACCGCAGGGCAUACUGCGCGUCUCGAGGAAGCUAGAGGCCGGUGGAACGAUCGGUGGAGCGGUGGAAUGCGUAGAGAUCGAUCGGAACGCCAAGGGUGAAGACAACCGGCUGGGGCUUUCCUGACGCUGAGGCACGAAAGCGCGGGGAUCAAACAGG